rnacentral:rRNA from 1 species
AGAGUUUGAUCCUGGCUCAGAAUCAACGCUGGCGGCGUGCCUANNACAUGCAAGUCGAGCGAGAAAAGGGGGGCAACUCCCUGAGUACAGCGGCGCACGGGUGAGUAACACGUGGGUAAUCUGCCCUGGAGUGGGGAAUAACACCGGGAAACCGGUGCUAAUACCGCAUACGAUAGCGGGAUCUGCGGAUUUCGUUAUGAAAGGAGCAAUUCGCUCCAGGAGGAGCCCGCGGCUGAUUAGCUAGUUGGUGAGGUAAUGGCUCACCAAGGCUACGAUCAGUAUCCGGUCUGAGAGGACGGUCGGACACACUGGAACUGAGACACGGUCCAGACUCCUACGGGAGGCAGCAGUGGGGAAUUUUUGGCAAUGGGGGCAACCCUGACCAAGCAACGCCGCGUGGGUGAUGAAGUCUCUUGGGACGUAAAACCCUUUCGACGGGGAAGAAACCGCAAGGUUGACGGUACCCGUAGAAGAAGCCCCGGCUAACUCCGUGCCAGCAGCCGCGGUAAUACGGGGGGGGCAAGCGUUGUUCGGAAUUACUGGGCGUAAAGGGUGCGUAGGCGGUCUGUUAAGUUGGAUGUGAAAACUCUGGGCUCAACCCAGAGCCUGCAUCCAAAACUGGCAGGCUAGAGUUCUGGAGGGGGUAGCGGAAUUCCUGGUGUAGCGGUGAAAUGCGUAGAUAUCAGGAGGAACACCGGUGGCGAAGGCGGCUACCUGGACAGAAACUGACGCUGAGGCACGAAAGCUAGGGGAGCAAACAGGAUUAGAUACCCUAGUAGUCC